rnacentral:rRNA from 1 species
CCAGAGAACUUUCCAGAGAUGGAUUGGUGGCCUUCGGGAACUCUGAGACAGGUGCUGCAUGGCUGUCGUCAGCUCGUGUUGUGAAAUGUUGGGUUAAGUCCCGCAACGAGCGCAACCCUUAUCCUUUGUUGCCAGCGGUCCGGCCGGGAACUCAAAGGAGACUGCCAGUGAUAAACUGGAGGAAGGUGGGGAUGACGUCAAGUCAUCAUGGCCCUUACGAGUAGGGCUACACACGUGCUACAAUGGCGCAUACAAAGAGAAGCGACCUCGCGAGAGCAAGCGGACCUCAUAAAGUGCGUCGUAGUCCGGAUUGGAGUCUGCAACUCGACUCCAUGAAGUCGGAAUCGCUAGUAAUCGUGGAUCAGAAUGCCACGGUGAAUACGUUCCCGGGCCUUGUACACACCGCCCGUCACACCAUGGGAGUGGGUUGCAAAAGAAGUAGGUAGCUUAACCUUCGGGAGGGCGCUUACCACUUUGUGAUUCAUGACUGGGGUGAAGUCGUAACAAGGUAGGCGUAGAUGA